AACACAGUUUUAUAAGAAUGCUCAAGUCUCCUUACUGUUGCAUCUGUAAUGCCUGGGUAUAGGGGACGUCCUCCAGGCUCUUCCAGGGAUGACUGUCUUUCAGAGUGGCAGGGCAUUUACAAUCCUUUAGCUAGACACAGAGCGCUGAUUGGUACAUUUUUACAGAGUGCUGAUUGGUGCCUUUACAAUCCUUUAGCUAGACACAGAGUGCUGAUUGGUAUGUUUAGAGAUCAUAAGACUGACAAAACAGACUCUUUGGUAAGAAGAUACCAAAUUCCAACUGGUAUAAUAUCACAUGACAGAUAACAGACCUUGAAGAAAACUAAAAUAUUUUACCUCAAAAUAUAUUUCUUUGGCAUAUUUUGAAAUGGUCCUGAGAAGCCAUCUUUUGAGAAAGAAAUUUUCCAUAGAUUGAUCAUCAAAGAUGUACUAAAUUGUUAACCAGCCAUCAUCCAUUAUGAACUAUGCUAAAACCUUCCAGAUGUAUAAACUCACAGUAGUCCUUCUAAGCCUCUGCCUAAUCU
rnacentral:lncRNA from 1 species